rnacentral:tRNA from 1 species
UAAUAAGAAGCAAUUUUUGCAUUUAGUUUCGACCUAAAAGUUUGAUGAUCGCUUCAUCCUUAUUUU